rnacentral:lncRNA from 1 species
UUGGCGUGCGGACAACGGGCAGCUGUGCGCGCACUUUCCGGGUCUUGGCCUCACGGUGACACUGGAUUCGAACCCCGUCGGGCCGGCAGCCGACAGCAGGUUAGGAUGCUAUAGGUUGUGCGCGCCCUUUGCGUGCUCGGGACCCGGCAGGAUUCAGGGGCCCCGUGUCCGCGGCUGCCACUUAUUUGUGAGUCGGUGUCUGCGUGUGGGCACCACGUGAGUGCCGCGUCCGUGGCGGCCAGGGGAAGGCGUUGGAUCCCGUGGGGCUGGAGUUAAGGAUUUUGGAUUGCAAAGGACUUUUGUUUUAACAAGUCUGUGAGAAUGAUGAUUCCUUUUGCCAGGCGGUGGUGACGCUCGCCUUUAAAUCCCGGCACUGGGGAGGUGGGGAGGCGGGGAGGCGGGGAGGCAGGCGGAUCUGAGUUUGAGGCCAGCCUGGUCUCCAGGACUGCCAGGGCUACACAGAGAAACUCUGUAGCAGAAAAACCAAAAUAAUAAAAUGGUUGCUUUUUACAACUCUUACAUGGACUGCUAGGUAGAUACUGUUUACUCGUUUGGAAUGAUCGCACAGUAGGGUGAACGUUGUAACAUUUACGUGUGACAUACACAACAUUUAAUAUUAGAGCAACUAUAUCACUUCUUUUUAUAGACCUCCAGUUGUGAUUUGUUGGACUUGAGUGUUUGACUUAACUGUUUACAAAACCGAAUCAAAAGAUGUGCUAUAUAUAGAUUCUUUGGUAUUUGCAAAUGAAUUCAAGACAUUUCUGCUAAUGGAAGCGGAAUCCAGCAGUCCUGUAGUUUAUAUGAUGUCUACUUUAGAGCAAGGUAUAUUUGCUGACAUUUUUUACCUCAGAUGUUUGGAAUUCUCCCUUGAUAGCCUACGUGGAUGCCUUUCUUCCGGAGUCACAUAGCUAAUUCAGGAGGGAAAUUCCAGGAAUGGGCCUGACCAAAAAGUCCAUCUUUUGGUCAGUAUUUAGUAUCUAAUAAAGCUUGCUUUAAAUUUAGCCCAAAAUGGUGGACUUCGUUUUUCUGGCGAAUCCCAAGAUUAACACUGGGUUCACAUCAGAGGGGUUUUCCCUCUCUUACCACACCCUACCGGCAGCCAUCAAGGCACCUUUUUUAUUGUCACACACAUUUAUAUUGUUUGUGACCUUAUGUACCCCAACAUCUACUUUGAAAUCUUAGCUAGCUCAGGGUCUGGAGAGGUAGCUCCGUGCUUAAAGAGUGUUUUUAGCUCUUCCAGAGGACUGUUUGGUUUCCAGCAUCCACGUUGCAGGGCUCAUAAUUACUUCUACCAACACCUCGAACGCACACAUGGGUAAAUUUCUUUUCUUUCCCAAACUUUAAUUUGCAUUUGCUAACAAAUCUUUUUUAUCCACUUUACAAAACUAUGGAACACUUCACGAAUUUGCGUGUCAUCCUUGUGCAAGGGCCAUGCUAAUCUUCUCUGUAUCGUCCCCGUUUUAGUAUAUAGGCUGCCAAAGCGAGCACGGAAAAAUAUUUUUAAAUAUCUCUUAAAUGUUUAAAAUGAGACGAGCCUUUGUGUAUCUUGUUCAUGCUAAAAAUAGCUAUGCCAGGCGUGGCAUAUGCCUACAAUCCAAGCACUUGGGAAAUUGAGGCAGGAGACAGAUUAAAGAGUUUGAAACCAGCCUAAGUUACAUAUAAUGAGUACUUGGCAAGCCAGGGCCAUAUAACAUGACCCUGCCUUAAUGAAACAAACAAAAAAUAAAUAAAAUAAUGAAAUGAGAAAGGAAAAGUGUUUACCAUUAUUUUUUACAAGUCUCCAAUUUUAUCACCUCAAUCCCCCAAAAUAAGCAAAUACAGGCCAGCAAAAUGGCUCACUUGGUGAAUAGAGGUGCUGCCACUAAGUCUGUUGAGUUUAGUCCUUGAGACCACAUGGCAGAAAGAAAACUGACUCUUAUGAUAUAUACAAGUACAGGGUAGUACAAGCUACUACACACAUACACAUAAUAAACAAAUGUAAUAAAGAAACCAUGUAGAAGACACUGGAAAAAUCAGUUUAUUAUAUAAAAUGAAACCUGAGAUGAUAAAAUAAACACAGUAACACUUGUGUUCUAGCCAUACUCUGGUAGUAAAUAAAAGACUAUUACAAACCUCUACCACGAGUACCCAUGGGUACCAUGAGUACCCAUAACCUGCAGCAAGUGAUGGUGCUGUAUGCCUUGUAGCUGAGCCGCAAACCUGAAAAACUUCUUGUUGCUGUUUUUAUAUGACAGUAAAGCUUUUUCACUGGUAUAGUACUGUGUGGUUAUUCAUAGUUCUUUCCCUUGUGGAAAUGGAGCACCUGAUUUGCCCUGGCCUUUUAUGAUUAUUUAUAUAAUGAGAGGGAUAAAGGAGUCUGGCAAGCACUGAGC